rnacentral:rRNA from 1 species
CUGGGGCUAAUACCGGAUAGGCAAUUUUUCCUGGAAUGGUUUUUUGUUUAAAUGUUUUUUCGCCUAAGGAUGGGUCUGCGGCCGAUUAGGUAGUUGGUUAGGUAAUGGCUUACCAAGCCGUUGAUCGGUACGGGUUGUGAGAGCAAGAGCCCGGAGAUGGAACCUGAGACAAGGUUCCAGGCCCUACGGGGUGCAGCAGGCGCGAAACCUCUGCAAUGUGAGAAAUCGCGACGGGGGGAUCCCAAGUGCCAUUCUUAACGGGAUGGCUUUUCAUUAGUGUAAAGAGCUUUUGGAAUAAGAGCUGGGCAAGACCGGUGCCAGCCGCCGCGGUAACACCGGCAGCUCUAGUGGUAACAAUUUUUAUUGGGCCUAAAGCGUCCGUAGCCGGUUUAAUAAGUCUCUGGUGAAAUCCUGUAGCUUAACUGUGGGAAUUGCUGGAGAUACUAUUAGACUUGAGACCGGGAGAGGUUAGAGGUACUCCCAGGGUAGAGGUGAAAUUCUGUAAUCCUGGGAGGACCGCCUGUUGCGAAGGCGUCUAACUGGAACGGUUCUGACGGUGAGGGACGAAAGUUAGGGGCGCGAACCGGAUUAGAUACCCGGGUAGUCCUAACUGUAAACGAUGCGGACUUGGUGUUGGGGUGGCUUUGAGCUGCUCCAGUGCCGAAGGGAAGCUGUUAAGUCCGCCGCCUGGGAAGUACGGUCGCAAGACUGAAACUUAA